CCCAGGAUUACAAGGCCAGCGUUCUAACCGUUAGACCACCGUCAUAUCAUGACAAAAUCCUGAAAAGUAAUUUUUCUUACAGGAUCAGUUUAGAUUAGUUCGUGUUACAUCUUCCAAGAAUACUCCAAAAUGCAGGCUUGGUCAGAAGAAAAUCUUGUAAAAGUCUGUACCCAGAUGAUAAUGAAUAGCUUCAGAACACAUCCACGCAGCCCAGUGAACUGAAGGAAAUCUAAUCUCUAGCUGUUUCGAGCUAGUCUUUACUCCAGACUAAAUUUGAUGUAACGCGAUGCCCGUCACAAAACCAGAUCUGAUUCUACGUUUCUUCCCUUGGGAACAGAAGAAUAAAAAAGAGUCUCAACGAAAAUGGUAGAAUGGAGAAAAGCAAGAAAUCCCUCAGUCUUCAAGAGGAUCACCAAAUACUGCAGCAUCCUUUGUGGUAUCGUGUAGACUAAGCGUAGUUAAGCCCAGAAAGAACUUCGACAAGGCGCGAAGAACACACGAAUUAACUCCCUGCAUGUUUUAUUUAAAUUGAUCGCCUAAAUGAAUGCAUAAUAUUUAUUACAGAAGGUAGAUUCUAGUUGAUUUGUAGGUCAUUUGACAAGUUUGUAUCAACUGUACACGAUUAACCUUAAUUUGAAGUAGAAACUCAUCUAUGAAACAUGAAUCCUGUUUUUCUCCACAAUUUUCUUGUGAGAACGCCUUAAACAUCUCUUUAAGCUUACAAAAAGUUCUCCGUUAUAGGAGUUUACAGAGUAAAUGUCAUUCAUAUUUUAACCCUUUAAAGCUUAAUAACAACUAUAUGCGCCACCUACUGAACAAUCAAUAAUUCCUGCAAUUUUUACUCAUAUUUAUAAGUGUUGUAUGAUUCUCAAUGUACACAAUGAUUAUUUCCUUAAGCAGCAUUAACUAUUUGAACUUUGGUACGGUGAAGUCUUAUGUUUCUUUGCGGUAAAUAAUAUUUAGACGGGAUUUCGCUUCAUUGGGUUUAAAAUAUUUUCAUUUUGUUUUCGUAUUUUGCAUCAACAAUCAAAUACACAAUUACAGAUAAAUAAACACAAGAAAAUUAUUAUUAUUAUUCAGUUCAGCUAUAUUUAUUUGUGUGUUGACUUAGCACCUCAAAAUUCAAUUAGAAAGUUAGCAGAGGUUAAAAAAAUACAGAAAAUACAAAUACACACAAACAAAGGCUAAACCAGGGCAAUUUAUAUCAUUCAUGUGAUAAAAUUAUUCAAACAACACAAAUUUGUAGUCAAGAGAUAUUAAGGUAGAACUUUAUAUAUUUAUUAUUGAUACAAUUAAUAUCAUAAUAAAUUGGAAAGUGCCAUAGUUAUUAUAA